AUAGGUGCCUGUAAUAUCUCAUU
rnacentral:piRNA from 1 species